rnacentral:rRNA from 1 species
GAGUUUGAUCUUGGCUCAGAUUGAACGCUGGCGGCAUGCCUUACACAUGCAAGUCGAACGGCAGCACGGGAGCUUGCUCCUGGUGGCGAGUGGCGAACGGGUGAGUAAUGCAUCGGAACGUAUCCUGGAGUGGGGGAUAACGUAGCGAAAGUUACGCUAAUACCGCAUAUUCUGUGAGCAGGAAAGCGGGGGACCUUCGGGCCUCGCGCUCUUGGAGCGGCCGAUGUCGGAUUAGCUAGUUGGUGAGGUAAAGGCUCACCGAGGCGACGAUCCGUAGCAGGUCUGAGAGGAUGAUCUGCCACACUGGAACUGAGACACGGUCCAGACUCCUACGGGAGGCAGCAGUGGGGAAUUUUGGACAAUGGGGGCAACCCUGAUCCAGCCAUGCCGCGUGAGUG